rnacentral:tRNA from 1 species
GGGGAUAUAGCUCAACAAUAUGAGCAUGUGCCUGGUAAGCACAAGGUCCUGAGUUUGGUUCUCAGCUCA